UGGGGAAUAUUGGACAAUGGGCGAAAGCCUGAUCCAGCCAUGCCGCGUGUGUGAAGAAGGUCUUCGGAUUGUAAAGCACUUUAAGUUGGGAGGAAGGGCAUUAACCUAAUACGUUAGUGUUUUGACGUUACCGACAGAAUAAGCACCGGCUAACUCUGUGCCAGCAGCCGCGGUAAUACAGAGGGUGCAAGCGUUAAUCGGAAUUACUGGGCGUAAAGCGCGCGUAGGUGGUUUUUUAAGGUGGAUGUGAAAUCCCCGGGCUCAACCUGGGAACUGCAUUCAAAACUGACUGACUAGAGUAUGGUAGAGGGUGGUGGAAUUUCCUGUGUAGCGGUGAAAUGCGUAGAUAUAGGAAGGAACACCAGUGGCGAAGGCGACCACCUGGACUAAUACUGACACUGAGGUGCGAAAGCGUGGGGAGCAAACA
rnacentral:rRNA from 1 species